rfam:Vibrio ezurae NBRC 102218 DNA, contig: VEZ01S55.
GCGCCCUUAGCUCAGCUGGAUAGAGCACGUCCCUUCUAAGGAUGUGGUCGUAGGUUCGAAUCCUACAGGGCGCG